AAACAGCCCAGGAAUCUGCAAAGCCCUUGAUGGGAAUGAAUGCGGUGAAGGUGCUCAGCGAAGGAAAGGAGGGAAGAAGGACACAGGGCAGACCGGGGUAAAGAGGAUGAGGUCCAGGAGGGAAAAACUGGAGGAGAGUCACCUUUCAAACUGUCAUUUCACUGGUGCCAUGUCAUAGGAAGAAGCUGGGACAUAUCCAUAGGAUACCUCUGUGGCUGCAGUGGCUGGAGACCCCAUGGAGGAUAGCUGUCUAAUGCCAGGAAAAAAGCCCGGGAGGUUUCAACUCUACACGAAGAACCAGAGGCAGCUGAGGAAAGCUGGGAAUGGGAGAAGUGGUCCUCCCCAGGGAAGAGCGCACCAAUUGGUUGUCCAAUGGCAAACGGAUAGCUCUGAAAAUAUACAGACAAGUAACAUAACAUGGACUGAACAGGUUUUAUUUAGAAUGAAUAAUGUAUAUUCAUUCAUAUUGUCACAUGAGCACACAUAUAUAUGCAUGUGAUAACAAGAUAUUGCCUCUCACCACAUUUUCAAAAGAAUAAAGCCAGUCCCUGAGUGUGUCUGAUGCAAUACUGCAGCAAGAACUACCUGGUAACAACUUUCUUGAGGUGUACCAUUCUUUAUCCCUUCAGGCUGUCCUCCCCCCGUUUUCAUUUCAUUAAAAAUGAAUAGAAUGUAGGUGCAUGUGUUUAUGUGGUUCAAAGUGGUGCUAUGAUUCAUUAAUGUAAUCUGGGAUAUUAAUGGCUAAAUUAUGUAUUCACCAUCGUAGUAUUUAUCAUUUGCUUUGUUCUGAGAACAUUUGAAAUUUGCUUUUGGUGGUUUUGAACUGAAAUGGAUAUAGCCAAAAGAGAACCUUGAAUAUUAUUGGUGGCAUGUGAAUCACUAUGGCUAUUGUAGUAAACUGAAUGGAUAUUGCUCAAGCAACUAGAAAUUGAAUUGCCAAACCAUUCAGGAAUAGGGUUCCUGAAUAUUCACACGGAGUACAGACAUUUCUGCUACACAUUUAUUUCAUGACCUGUUUUUGUAGUUUACAGAUGAUGUUUUAGACCUUUGUUAAAAUUCCAGAUUGUUCUUCUGUUUCCUAAAUUCAUAGUUUUGCUUUUAAAAUAACAUAUUUUUCAUUGUUGUUGUUUUUCACCCACAUUCCUGUUACAUCUCAGCACAGAUUGUUAUGACAAAAACAACCAAAAUGUGAGUAAUUGGAUUACACAAAUCAUACAUUGUCAUUUGGUUUAUGAGGCUUUUGUCUUGCACAUCAAGAAGGACUUGAAACAUUUUUUUUAAUCUUUUCUGUCUAUGUGAAAACUAAGGCUUCAAAUACUAACAUUCUGUUUCUGUUAUAAGAGGUAGUAAAAUAAGCCACAUAAAAUUCACAUUGGGUUGAAAUCACAUUAAAAUUUUAAAACAUACAGAAUGGUUCAACUCAUCUUCUAUUUGGGUAACUUUGGAUCCCUGCUGAUGGGUUGAGGUGAUUAUUGACUUUUACUCUCAAAAUUGAAAAAAAAAGUGGAGCUCCUACAAGUUUUGAACAGCAACGCUGAUCUGGAUAUAUAGGUGAGGUUUUAAUUCUGAUAGCACUAUUACCCAUGGCCUGGUGUGUCUGUAGAUGGCAUAGCUACAUUCUUCUCAUAGUAAUGCUUUCUAUUUCUAUUUUCAGCUAAUUAGCACAUCCAUUUUACUUUGCAUCUCUAAACUCUCCUCCUGAUAUAACUGUAUUGCAUGCAUACAGUACUUACAUACAGGGCAUCUAAAUGAACAACACAGUCUCUGUUGUCACUUGAGGAUCUGUAAUGUUUAAGAGUCCUUGCUAGGUCCAAGCACUGAGCUAAAGCCUUACUUGUAGCACUUGAUCUAUAGAACACUUUAAACAGCAUUAUAUCAAUUAUUAGGUUUUUGCUGUAAGAAACUGCUGUCUCUGUCAAAACCUUUGGAAUCAAUAAGUUUAUGUUGCAACACAGUAUCAGGAAGCUGAAAAGAAAAGGGGAUCUACAGUUUUCAGAAAAAAGUAGAAAAGUAGUGUGAUCUCCCACAGACUUGUGGAGUAGUAAGGGUUGCUGGGUUUCAGAUGUAAGGUUUCCAACUUUAUGAAUAUGGUAGCAUUGACAUGUUUCCUGUUUUUUUUCAGUUCUGACAAGAUAUAUUUAAAAUUUACCAAGUUAUGUCACAGAGUAGGCAAUGUUUGCCAUUAAAGUGUGCCUGCAAAAAUGUGACCAAGGCUUUAAAAGAGAGAUCCUGAACAUGACGAGUGAACAAUUCAUGAUUUGAAGGUGGUCCAGAAAAAGUUCCCAGAGCAAGAUAAUUUGAUUUUGUAUGGAUUUGAAAAGACUAUCAGGUAGAGAUUACUCAGAUGUUGAACAUGAAUGAUCAUAAGUCUUUCUGGACACUGAUAAUUCAAGCUGUUUAAAGAAAAGUGCCGGAAGUGAGGCCAGAAAGCAACGAACCAGGUGGUUGUGAACUGCGUUUCUCAGUAGUUUUGCCUGUGUCUAAUAGAUGGGGAAGUAUGUUGAGGUUGCAAGCAACUAGUAAGCAUGAUGUUUGAUUUACAUUAAAAAUAUUUAUGUCCAUGUGGUAAUGUUAUGUAAUGAGGUUUGGAUAUAGAAAAUAAAUUUGGAACCUUUGAUAUAGUCUAGGUGAGAAACUAUUGUUUGAGUAAAACUAAUAAAAUUUAACAUUUGCUCAUUAACCCUAA